UACGUAGGUGGCAAGCGUUGUCCGGAAUUAUUGGGCGUAAAGCGCGCGCAGGUGGUUCCUUAAGUCUGAUGUGAAAGCCCCCCGGCUCAACCGGGGAGGGUCAUUGGAAACUGGGGAACUUGAGUGCAGAAGAGGAUAGUGGAAUUCCAAGUGUAGCGGUGAAAUGCGUAGAGAUUUGGAGGAACACCAGUGGCGAAGGCGACUAUCUGGUCUGCAACUGACACUGAGGCGCGAAAGCGUGGGGAGCAAACAGG
rnacentral:rRNA from 1 species